GAGUUUGAUCGUGGCUCAGGAUGAACGCUGGCGGCGUGCCUAAUACAUGCAAGUCGAACGAACAGAUAAGGAGCUUGCUCCAUUGACGUUAGCGGCGGACGGGUGAGUAACACGUGGGUAACCUACCUAUAAGACUGGGAAUAACUCCGGGAAACCGGGGCUAAUGCCGGAUAACAUGUUGAACCGCAUGGUUCUACAGUGAAAGACGGUCUUGCUGUCACUUAUAGAUGGACCCGCGCCGUAUUAGCUAGUUGGUGGGGUAACGGCCUACCAAGGCGACGAUACGUAGCCGACCUGAGAGGGUGAUCGGCCACACUGGAACUGAGACACGGUCCAGACUCCUACGGGAGGCAGCAGUAGGGAAUCUUCCGCAAUGGGCGAAAGCCUGACGGAGCAACGCCGCGUGAGUGAUGAAGGUCUUCGGAUCGUAAAGCUCUGUUGUUAGGGAAGACAAAUGUGUAAGUAACUGUGCAUAUCUUGACGGUACCUAACCAGAAAGCCACGGCUAACUACGUGCCAGCAGCA
rnacentral:rRNA from 1 species